AAAGCCAAAUGUGAACCCUCCCAAUUCCAGUGCACAAACGGCCGCUGUAUUACGUUGCUGUGGAAAUGUGACGGGGACGAAGACUGCGCUGACGGCAGUGACGAAAGGAACUGUGUAAAGAAGACGUGUGCCGAGUCUGACUUUGUGUGCAACAAUGGCCAGUGUGUCCCCAGCCGGUGGCAAUGUGACGGGGAUCCCGACUGUGAAGACGGCUCUGAUGAAAACCCGGAACAGUGCCAUAUGAGAACAUGUCGCAUAAAUGAAAUGAGCUGUGGCGCCCGUUCCACUCAGUGUAUCCCAGUGUCCUGGAGGUGCGACGGUGAAAAUGAUUGUGACAGUGGCGAAGAUGAAGAAAACUGCGGUAAGAAGAUCAGUGUUGAGUGGCUUUGCCCCCAAGACCCUUUUGCUCAAAGAAGGGUGGGCAGGGGGAGAAGCUUCCAGGAGCGUGAAGAUGCAGUUCCAUUGACUGGCGUUUCAGUGACUUCGCUCUCUGCGCAGCUACUUGGCCUUCAUUACUGCCCUAAAACUGACAGAAGUCCCCGUGGUGGCUGACCACUGCCCGCUUCGGUGUUUGUCCUAGGCAGAUAGAAGUGAGAAGGUAAGUCACUCAGGGCACCGCCAUCCAGGAGGAGCUCAGUGAGGCCACGACGGUGUGGGCGUCUGUGUGUUAGGACAGGGGUGCACGGGCCUGCCUCACCCGGGCUCAGUACAACCAGCAGGGCACUAGGGCCAGCAGGCUCAUUCCUAGGUCUCAAGUGGGUCUGCUUUUUGGAAUAAAUGCCUUGAGUAGCAUACGAGCCGCUUGAGUUAGCCUCUGAACUCGAUUCUCUUUGAGGCUGUCCAAAGGUUAACCUGGCACAGAAGCGUUACCUAUCAUCUUGCCAGCACAGACCCAAAGAAAACCCUACCCAGCCGAAGGUACUUUUGUCUCUUCUCAAGGUUCCUGCCUGUAAAAAGGAGCUCUGUUUCCUAUGCUUUCGUGUUUCUGUUCCUGGAAAAUGUGUUAAUAAAGUGCUGCGCGUUCCAGGCGAGGCCCUGGGAAAUAUCUGGGUUGAACAAACAUUGCUGUGAGCACUCUUUCAAGCUACCGCCCUUUUAUAGGGCCCCGAGAGCGACAGCUCCCAAGGCUGACAGGCAUGGGCCUCCUGAGGCAGCAGAGUACUAGUGAGCUGAGCGUGCUUGCGGUCCAAACGCCAGUCUUGCAUGGAGAAGUCGACUUCUGAGGUCAAUACCACUGCACCUAGUCCAAUGAGUUCGGUGUUCGAUCUUAGAAUUGAGCUUUAUGUAUUGGUAAGCCCCAGGGCUGCCAAGUGUUUCCCUCCUAAAUCGAGACUUUGCUUCCCAAGAGAGUCGUGGUCUUUACCCUCAUUACCACCAAACUGUGACCUUGAUUCAUUCGGCAGGAAUUUGAGUCCAAGUACAAACUGGCUAGUCUGCCUGGUUUAUCAUCAUUAGCAUACCGGGCGACUAAGAUUGAGAUCAAUUCUAGCCCUAGCAGUGACUUUUUAACACUUGAAAAUAUUUAAGGCCUGUUAUUCCUGAUCCUCAUUUGAAGGACCAACAGAGAAGGAGCCAUGUAUGGUAGCAUAAAUAAUGGCUGAUUUUUGUUCAUAGUGUGAUAAUGCUUAUUAUGAGUCUGUGUUAAUCUGUGUACCUGAUACAUGGUAGUCUCAGCUGAUGAUCUGAACUGAUUUUAGAGAAAACUGUCUGUCUGUGUAGAGAUAGCUCAGUCUUUGCCAUUCAAAAUGAAAUCCCCCGGUCAGGUUUAAGUUGAUUGCUGUCCCUUUAGGAAUCUGUUGUGGUUCUCACCUCAGAUUAACUUCUAAGUCUUCAGCUGUUCUCUUGGUCCUUUCUUUCCGUUCUCAUUCAAGUGUCCCUGCAUCUUGUCCAUAUUGAGACUGCUUGCUAGUACGCCAGGAACCUGGAUAUGGAUAGAAUUCCACGAUAGCUUUUAGGUGAAGCUUGGAGAGCUAGGGUCCGCGAGCCGAGA